rnacentral:lncRNA from 1 species
GGGCGCUCUUUUUUUGGGCUUGUGGACUCCUUUUCAGGUGUCCCUAAGGAGAGAAAAUCAGAUCUCCUCCCUCCCCAUGUUCCCUUCUGAAAGUUGCGAAGAAUGUCAUCUGACUUUUCUGCGGGGCUUGACAUACGCACGAAAUAGAGGGACUGUAUUUUCAGACCUCACGAGGCAUCGAAUUUAAGCAACCUCUGUGAUUUUGAUCCCUAUUC